CAGCUUUUGCUAACGGAGGAUUUGGUCCGAUACCAUUUAAAGGAGGUACAUCUGAGAGCCUUUACUACAAUUUGUAUGAAAAAGAAGGUACUUCCACUUACCCUACUGACCUGAAAACACGAAGUAGGAGCAGACUUUCCAUCCCCAUGAUGCCAAGGGUUGUGAGAAAGUGACCAUUACAAUGUUCAACUAAAUUAGUUUCAC